AUUGAACGCUGGCGGCAGGCUUAACACAUGCAAGUCGAGCGAGCGGCGGAGGGGUGAGUAAUGUCUGGGAAACUGCCUGAUGGAGGGGGAUAACUACUGUAAACGGUAGCUAAUACCGCAUACCAUCAGAUGUGCCCAGAGGGGAUUAGCUAGUAGGUGGGGUAAUGGCUCACCAAGGCGACGAUCCCUAGCUGGUCUGAGAGGCUGACCGGCCACACUGGAACUGAGACACGGUCCAGACUCCUACGGGAGGCAGCAGUGGGGAAUAUUGCGCAAUGGGCGCAAGCCUGAUGCAGCCAUGCCGCGUGUGUGAAGAAGGCCUUCGGGUUGUAAAGCACUGUCAGCGAGGAGGCGUUACUCGCAGAAGAAGCACCGGCUAACUCCGUGCCAGCAGCCGCGGUAAUUC
rnacentral:rRNA from 1 species